GGAAGUUACGUCACAGCCAGGCGCCGGGACUCCGGCGUGGACGGGCACGUGCUCUGCGCAGCCGCACUGAGGUUUGGUUCUCGGCUCUCCUUCCAGCUCGUCGGCACUAGCCUUCACCGAAGGAACCUAAGGAGCCCUGCAGUUUGGAGGACCGGACCGACGACGGCGUCGCACCCCAAGUGACGUCAGACCGAGGAAGCUGGCGGUCCCGGCUCGGAGUUCAGGAAUGUAGUCUAGGAUUCCUGCUGCCUCCUCCUGUUGGCCGAAGAAGCUCUAGUGCCAAACAGAGGACAAGGUCUGUUGUACCAGGAUUCCUCACCUUUCUCCGUCACUUACUCAUGCACUCUCAGACAUUGGAGAUCCACUGCCUGAUGGGCAGAUUGACCCCCAGAGUGAGGUAGGCUACACAGUGAUGCCAGUAAAUCCUGGAACAGAACCCAGAUCUCCUGACUUCUAGGACAAUGCUGUAUCCAUUUUCCUAAUGGAAGGCAAAUAUCAUGUCUCCACUCA